AAGAAAGCUAAUUAAAAUAUUUUUAUAGGUAUGUUUUGAAUUGAUUCUGUAAUUCCUUUGAGGCUAGGCAUGAGUGAAUAUAAAGCUCAGACAGAAGACACACUCUUCUUUGCUGAUGCAGUUUCAAACUCUCUGCCUAACUGGCCUUUUAUUCCCAGGCACAGAUCAUGAAAAGGGAGAUGGGAAUGGCUGAAUGAGCCACGCAUCACAGUGAUGAGGUAAGGCCUUCCUUUAACAACUGCAUCCAGCUCCCUCUGCUCCUGGCUAAUCUGUGCCUCCAACAAGGUAUCAUUUCUGGUACCAGGUUAACAAAGAAAUGGAAGCUGGAUCAGUUAAGAAAAAGUCCGUGGUGGUGCAGAUGGUGAUGACAGCUCAUACAGAAAUGCUGCUAGAUUUCUAACCAUUGCCUUGAAAUACUGAUUUCAAACUGCAGUGCUAUAAUGACAGCAUUAAUGAAGUGGCAUCAAGAGUUUCCUCAAAUUUUCCUGUGCUGGGAAAUCUCCAGGGUUGGCGCGCGAGUCUUUGACGCUGUUAACAAUUUCAAUCUGCACCAUUAAAGCUGCAUUUUCUCACCGUCCCCCGACUACAGAAAAAGACCCAAAUCUGUUCCAAGUGACCAGG
rnacentral:lncRNA from 1 species